rnacentral:rRNA from 1 species
AUGGAGCAAUUGGAGAAGAGGCUGGAUGCUGCUGAACAACAAAUCAAAGAGCUGCGUGAAGAUCUUAAUAGGAGAUUUGACCAGCUGGUUGAUAUGAUAAGAAAGGGUGUCCCCCCUGCUACCAAUGAAGGAGAUUCAUCUAAAGAAGAGGAAGAUGUUCAUCAAGGAAGAAGGAGAGGUAAUCUUGGAGCAAGACCGCCACAACAACAUGUUGUUCAACGUGCUUCAAGAAGGCCAAUUUAUGUUGAAGCUUCUGAAGGUGAAGAAUACGAUGAUGCCCUUGAAGAACCAAAUCUCCACGCAUAUCGAAGAGCACCCAACCCUACAUAUGCAAGAGGUACAUACAAGGUGAGAGCUGAGAUCCCAAGUUUUAAUGGAAAUGUUGACAUUGAAGGGUGCCUGGAUUGGUUAUAUGAAGUGGAGACUUUCUUUGAGGUCAUGGAGGUUCCGGAAGAUCGUAGAGUUCCUUUGGUCGCAUACAAGUUGAAAGGAGGAGCCGCUGCAUGGUGGCAUCGCGUUCAAGAGGAGCGCAGGCUGAGAGGAGAACCUCGUGUUAGAACUUGGCGAUAA